rnacentral:rRNA from 1 species
GAUGAACGCUGGCGGCGUGCCUAAUACAUGCAAGUCGAGCGAACGGACGAGAAGCUUGCUUUUCUGAUGUUAGCGGCGGACGGGUGAGUAACACGUGGAUAACCUACCUAUAAGACUGGGAUAACUUCGGGAAACCGGAGCUAAUACCGGAUAAUAUUUUGAACCGCAUGGUUCAAAAGUGAAAAACGGUCUGGCUGUCACUUAUAGAGGGAUCCGCGCUGCAUUAGCUAGUUGGUAAGGUAACGGCUUACCAAGGCAACGAUGCAUAGCCGACCUGAGAGGGUGAUCGGCCACACGGGAACUGAGACACGGUCCAGACUCCUACGGGAGGCAGCAGUAGGGAAUCUUCCGCAAUGGGCGAAAGCCUGACGGAGCAACGCCGCGUGAGUGAUGAAGGUCUUCGGAUCGUAAAACUCUGUUAUUAGGGAAGAACAUAUGUGUAAGUAACUGUGCACAUCUUGACGGUACCUAAUCAGAAAGCCACGGCUAACUACGUG